GGCGGGGCAGAACGCUCGCUUUGGCUGCGGGAGUGAGUGUGAGUGUGAGAGCAAGAACAGCCCGCAGGUCCCGAGGCGCUUGCAGGGGACUCUGCCGCGGAAAGUUCCCAGUCCCCAGCCGCAGUGAAGUCCUUCUACCUAGUUCCCCUUCCUUGUGCACAGAAGAGGACUGGAAAACUCUCCUCAUAGGACUGCAUACUGCUAUCUCUGAGAAGUAAGCAGUAUUUACUUUCUUACUUGUGUUUUCUUGAAUGUAUUUUGCUCUUUUUAUUUA
rnacentral:lncRNA from 1 species